UAUGGGCCACAUAGGUGGGAAACC
rnacentral:siRNA from 1 species